CAGCCGUAAACUAUGCGCGUUAGGUGUACUGGUGACCACGAGUCACCGGGGUGCCGAAGGGAAACCGUGAAACGUGCCGCCUGGGAAGUACGGUCGCAAGGCUGAAACUUAAAGGAACUGGCGGGGGAGCACAACAACGGGUGGAGCUUGCGGUUUAAUUGGAUUCAACGCCGGAAAUCUUACCGGGACCGACAGCAACAUGAAGGCCAAGCUGAAGACUUUGCCGGAUUAGCUGAGAGGAGGUGCAUGGCGUAGUCGUGU
rnacentral:rRNA from 1 species